rnacentral:lncRNA from 1 species
AAAACCAGCACCAACAACCUGAUUUAUGGAUUGCAAUCAUCACGGCUGGAUUUUAAAGCUGCAGGGGCUGAAAUCCUCUCCAGAUCCCCGGGAUUAAAUUCUCAGCAGGACCUCCCUAUGCUGUGGUGCUAAGGAGUGCGUUCAGAUUACCUGGGAAAGGAGGCCAACCCCCGUCCUGCUUGCAGAAGGGUAGCACUCUUGAAUAGAAUAAAGCCCUGAGCAUUGGGUGAAAUCGCUGUGGGUUUGUGCCCACAUAAUGCAGAGGUACCAACACCCCUCAGUGCCUGGGCUGGCAGAUUUUCCUGAGGACGGGAAGUGUGGUGGUUGGUAGAGGAUGGACUCUGUUGUCUUCCAGCCCUCAGUGCCACAGUGUCUGACAUCUGGCAUGGCUCAAUCACUUAUAUGUGAAAGAUCAAACACUUCAAAGGGUCUCCCUGGGUUUGGAAAUGGAAAGCUCUUCUUAUGUCCUCAGACAGGUACAGCAGCAUGCUGGACAGCUGUGUGCGUUAUCAACAGUAAAAACAAA